CGGGUGGUAAUGCCGGAUGCUCCAGUUGAUCGCAUGGUCUUCUGGGAAAGCUUUCGCGGUAUGGGAUGGGGUCGCGUCCUAUCAGCUUGACGGCGGGGUAACGGCCCACCGUGGCUUCGACGGGUAGCCGGCCUGAGAGGGCGACCGGCCACAUUGGGACUGAGAUACGGCCCAGACUCCUACGGGAGGCAGCAGUGGGGAAUAUUGCACAAUGGGCGCAAGCCUGAUGCAGCGACGCCGCGUGAGGGAUGGAGGCCUUCGGGUUGUAAACCUCUUUUAUCGGGGAGCAAGCGAGAGUGAGUUUACCCGUUGAAUAAGCACCGGCUAACUACGUGCCAGCAGCCGCGGUAAUACGUAGGGUGCAAGCGUUAUCCGGAAUUAUUGGGCGUAAAGGGCUCGUAGGCGGUUCGUCGCGUCCGGUGUGAAAGUCCAUCGCUUAACGGUGGAUCCGCGCCGGGUACGGGCGGGCUUGAGUGCGGUAGGGGAGACUGGAAUUCCCGGUGUAACGGUGGAAUGUGUAGAUAUCGGGAAGAACACCA
rnacentral:rRNA from 1 species